ensembl:lncRNA
GCACAGCAGCAGUUUCCUUUAGCCAAAUCCCGAAAGCCUCUAAGGGUUUGCACACAAGGCUUGGAACUGAGCUCAGUAGGUCACCACUGCUGCACCAAAGCUGGGAGGGCUCGCCGGGACCGGUGACAGUGCUCUGUCUGCUGCGAGGCCAAGAUGUUGCUGUCUGCUGAACAUGGAGGAUGACGUUGCGAGCUUUCUCUCACGUGCAUCAAAUGGUGAUGUUAGCUGAGCGCUCUGAGGAUCUGAUGCAAGGGUGGACGUGUGUAUGAAGGGUACUGCCAUAACAUUUCAUGGUCAUUAAGAACGUACAGGUUCUACUUAUUUAACCAUAACACCUUUAAGGAGAGCAGUGGAAACAACCAGCAAUCUUCUGUACGAGAACCUGAAAGCAGCUUCCUGCAGUCCGCACCUCUACUGCAUGGCACCAUGCAACAAGGCUGGCUAAAGGGGGAUACCACCUUGCUUUGUCUGCAGUUGGCUUGGGGUCCUGCUGGGGUUUACGGUGUGCAGACCACAACGUGGGCUUCAUCUGCUCGGCAUGCCAGCACAGGGGUUUGAACUGCCUUUGACAGCACCUCAUGGAGCCACAUUGGUGUGAUCCAGGGCAGUGAUACACAGCAACCCUGCUGGGGGCUGACACACCAGGGCUCAGCACUUCCAGCUGCUUUGCUGCAAUGCCUCCCCACGAGCCCACCCCGGCGGGUCCCCAGCAGGAGGCCAAUCCUGGGAACAGAGGACUGCAAGUCGGUGCCGCCGCUGCCGGUUAUCUGCCCAGCCCUGGCAUCCCGCCUCGAGAGCCCCUCCUGGGCUGCGUUGGCUGAGCAAACCCGAGAGCGGGGCAACGGUCAGAGCGACAGAAAUGACUCGCUGGGGGAGAAGUGCAGCGAGAUGGGCUCCAGGAGAGAUGAGUCACUGCCGAGCUGCACUCCAGAAACAGCUCACAGAGCCAGCUGCUGCUGUUCGGAAGAUGAACUUACUGGGCUCUGCAGGCUGGCAACAGGGGCGCGGUAGAUGAGCUUGGCUUCAGCUAUUUCAGCGCACGCAGAAGGUGGAUCCAUUUGUGCCUGGGAAGAACGGGAAGCCGGGCGUGCAGAAGCUGUCCUGAAGCUCUGGUGGUCAGCCCGGGCAGCUCCAACACAGGCAGCGCUCCUUAUACCGCACUUACUCGUCUGUUAAUCAUUAAACACUGAUUAGAAAAGGCAAAACAGACAAUGCCUCGAAGGUGGUUCUGACUUUGCGGCCUUCCAGUACUUGAAGGGAGCUUACAGGCAGGAGAGGGAGUGACUUUGUACAUGGUCUGCUAGUGAUAGGGCAAGGGAGAAUGGCAUUUAACUACCAGAGGGAAGAUUUAGGUUAGAUGUGAGGAGGAAAUUCUUUACUCAGAGGGCAAUGAGGCACUGACAGUGCUGCCCAGAGCUGUGGGUGUCACAACCCUGGAGGUGCCCAAGGCCAGGUUGGAUGGGCCCUGGGCAGCCUGAGCUGGUGGGGGACACCCAGCCCACAGCAGGAGCUGGGGCAGGGGUGGCUUUGGGUCCCUUCCAGCCCAAGCCAUUCUGUGAUUCUAUGAUUCUAUGUCUUUGAAAUGGCUCUGUAUCUUGCAGUGGCCACUAUUACUUAAGGUAGAAGAGCCUAAAAUUAAACAUUUAUAUUUUGCUCCUUUACAGUUGGCUUCUUUGUUUUCAGGAUCACAUUCGGCCAUCGCCCAGUCUGUGCUGCAGGGUGAGACAGGGAAUGUGCCAAAGAGGAAAGG